rnacentral:rRNA from 1 species
CCCUUAGAUGUUCUGGGCCGCACGCGCGCUACACUGACUACUUCAACGAGUUGUUUCCUUGAUCGAAAGGUCUGGGUAAUCUUUGAAAGGUAGUCGUGAUGGAGAUAGAUCCUUGCAAUUUUUGAUCUUCAACGAGGAAUUCCUAGUAAACGCAAGUCAUCAGCUUGCAUUGAUUACGUCCCUGCCCUUUGUACACACCGCCCGUCGCACCUACCGAUUGAAUGGUCCGGUGAAUCUUUAGGACUGUGGCUGAGGCCUUGCCUUGUGCGGGUCUGGCCGUGGGAAUUUAGUUAAACCUUACCAUUUAGAGGAAGGUGAAGUCGUAACA